rnacentral:rRNA from 1 species
GGUUUAAUUCGAAGCAACGCGAAGAACCUUACCAAGUCUUGACAUCCCGAUGACAAGCUAUGUAAUGUAGCCUCUCUUCGGAGCAUCGGUGACAGGUGGUGCAUGGUUGUCGUCAGCUCGUGUCGUGAGAUGUUGGGUUAAGUCCCGCAACGAGCGCAACCCCUGUUCUUAGUAGCCAGCGGUUCGGCCGGCACUCUAGGGAGACUGCCAGGGAUAACCGUGGA